UGUGCUCAAUAGCAGCAUUAC
rnacentral:misc_RNA from 1 species